UAGCACGAGAGAGCUUGCUCUCUUGGUGGCGAGUGGCGGACGGGUGAGUAAUAUAUCGGAACGUGCCCAGUAGCGGGGGAUAACUACUCGAAAGAGUGGCUAAUACCGCAUACGCCCUACGGGGGAGAGGGGGGGAUUCUUCGGAACCUCUCACUAUUGGAGCGGCCGAUAUCGGAUUAGCUAGUUGGUGGGGUAAAGGCUCACCAAGGCAACGAUCCGUAGCUGGUUUGAGAGGACGACCAGCCACACUGGGACUGAGACACGGCCCAGACUCCUACGGGAGGCAGCAGUGGGGAAUUUUGGACAAUGGGGGAAACCCUGAUCCAGCCAUCCCGCGUGUAUGAUGAAGGCCUUUCGGGUUGUAAAGUACUUUUGGCAGAGAAGAAAAGGUAUCUCC
rnacentral:rRNA from 1 species